AACAGCCCUUCAACCUUUGUAAGAAAUGGAUCUUUCAGUGAGGCAGCACUGACCCUCUGGAACUCCCUGCCUAUUGAAAUUGUGCAGGUGCCUUCACUGUAAAGUGGCCAACCAGAUGCCCAUUAUGGGAAGCGGGACCUGAGAGCCCCCAGGGAACACAGAGGAGGCUCCGUCUUCAAGAAGGGUGUUUUACGGACAAGGAAAUUCAUCCCAUCACAAUGGACCAGAGAGAAGUUAGAAGCAGUGAAGCCCAGAAGCUGAGCUUUGCAAGGAGUGUGGUUUAUGAAAGGUGCAUUAUCCCAACAGAAAACUGAGGAACCGCAGUGGGAAAAGUGUGAGGCUAACAGAAAAGCUUUGCAGGCCUUCCCAGCAAAGCAUCCUGUUUCCCACAGUAGGUUGACCAGAUGCCUCUGGGAAGCAAGACACAAUGGGCUCAGUCAUCGCAUCCCCCCACCUGGAGCUCCAAGCAACAGAGGAUUCAGAGGAGAUGUUCCUGGAGGGAGCUGACAGCCAUCAUUAGAACAGCCAUGCAUAGAGGAGAGGGCUACUGGUUGGCUUCUAGCC